AGAGUUUGAUCCUGGCUCAGGACGAACGCUGGCGGCACGCUUAACACAUGCAAGUCGAACGAGAGAAGAGGAGCUUGCUUUUCUGAUCUAGUGGCGGACGGGUGAGUAACACGUGAGCAAUCUGCCUUUCAGAGGGGGAUACCGAUUGGAAACGAUCGUUAAUACCGCAUAACAUAAUUGAACCGCAUGAUUUGAUUAUCAAAGAUUUAUCGCUGAAAGAUGGGCUCGCGUCUGAUUAGCUAGUUGGUAAGGUAACGGCUUACCAAGGCGACGAUCAGUAGCCGGACUGAGAGGUUGAUCGGCCACAUUGGGACUGAGACACGGCCCAGACUCCUACGGGAGGCAGCAGUGGGGAAUAUUGCACAAUGGAGGAAACUCUGAUGCAGCGAUGCCGCGUGAGGGAAGAAGGUUUUAGGAUUGUAAACCUCUGUCUUCAGGGACGAAAAAAGACGGUACCUGAGGAGGAAGCUCCGGCUAACUACGUGCCAGCAGCCGCGGUAAUACGUAGGGAGCGAGCGUUGUCCGGAAUUACUGGGUGUAAAGGGAGCGUAGGCGGGAUCGCAAGUCAGAUGUGAAAACUAUGGGCUUAACCCAUAAACUGCAUUUGAAACUGUGGUUCUUGAGUGAAGUAGAGGUAAGCGGAAUUCCUAGUGUAGCGGUGAAAUGCGUAGAUAUUAGGAGGAACAUCAGUGGCGAAGGCGGCUUACUGGGCUUUAACUGACGCUGAGGCUCGAAAGCGUGGGGAGCAAACAGGAUUAGAUACCCUGGUAGUCCACGCCGUAAACGAUGACUACUAGGUGUGGGGGGACUGACCCCUUCCGUGCCGCAGCAAACGCAAUAAGUAAUCCACCUGGGGAGUACGACCGCAAGGUUGAAACUCAAAGGAAUUGACGGGGGCCCGCACAAGCAGUGGAGUAUGUGGAUUAAUUCGAAGCAACGCGAAGAACCUUACCAGGUCUUGACAUCGUAUGCAUAGCUCAGAGAUGAGUGAAAUCUCUUCGGAGACAUAUAGACAGGUGGUGCAUGGUUGUCGUCAGCUCGUGUCGUGAGAUGUUGGGUUAAGUCCCGCAACGAGCGCAACCCUUACUGUUAGUUGCUACGCAAGAGCACUCUAGCAGGACUGCCGUUGACAAAACGGAGGAAGGUGGGGAUGACGUCAAAUCAUCAUGCCCCUUAUGACCUGGGCCUCACACGUACUACAAUGGCUGUCAACAGAGGGAAGCAAAGCCGCGAGGUGGAGCGAACCCCUAAAAGCAGUCUUAGUUCGGAUUGUAGGCUGCAACCCGCCUACAUGAAGUCGGAAUUGCUAGUAAUCGCAGAUCAGCAUGCUGCGGUGAAUACGUUCCCGGGCCUUGUACACACCGCCCGUCACGCCAUGGGAGUCGGUAACACCCGAAGCCUGUAGUCUAACCGCAAGGAGGACGCAGUCGAAGGUGGGAUUGAUGACUGGGGUGAAGUCGUAACAAGGUA
rnacentral:rRNA from 1 species